rnacentral:tRNA from 1 species
UUAAUAGGGCUGCUGUAGCAGGUCACUUUGAUAUAGUGAAUAGUGAAUUAUGAAUUCCGUUAAU